UGCGCCAAAUAAUUUUUCCACUUCUCUCCCGAAUUCUUAGCCCACUUGAGUUAACCCACCUCUUCCUAGGUUUUAUUUUCCUUUGCCCAAAUCAAUAUGUGAGCUUUUUCAUUGCUGCAUUAAGCAUUCUUUUGCUACUAUAAAGGAAAAGAAAUUUUGUCGGAUGCCAAGCUAGUAAUUUUGUUAAGAGUGUUCAAAGGUAUGUUUCUCAAUUUUCGCCCUUCUAUAUGAGAAAUCUAUUUAAACUAAAUUUUUACCACAAAUUAUUUUUCUUAUGAUGCUUAUGAGCAGGGAAAGGUGAACCUCUAUGGCCAUGUGAUCAUGUAUAGUUGUUGAUUUUCAUGAAUUUUUAAAUUAAUUAUCUAAGUUUUAAAGAUAACCAAAGAUUGUAAGCUUAUUUUUUGGUCUCAUUCUUUUUAUCUAUUCUGUAUAGCAUCAGCUACUCUCUGUAAGCUAGUUUUGUCACAGUGGAUUUCACCUUUCAAUGUUUAAGAUAAUCCCUCCUUACCAUUUUAAUUGAUGUGGGUUGACUUUUAAGUUUUGAAUGGAUAAUUAUAUUGGAUUGUGAGAACUUGUAAAAUAGAUACGAGAUUAAAUUAAUUUUUGAAAUAAUAUGAAGUAGCAUUUUUUUGGUCACCCAAGAUUAUGAUCUAGUGGUUAAUGAAUUGUGAUGAGGACAACAAGAUCUCGAGUUCAAAUGUGGAAGCUCUCUCCUUUCCCUAGUGGGAUAAGAACAAUGAGAUAUCGGGUUCAAACGCGGAUACUCCUUUCUUUGCCUAAACCUUCAGGAUAGAAUUACCUAAUAUCUGCAUUGGUGGGACGUAACAUGUAUUAUGAAGAAUAGCAAUUCGUCUUUUUGACUUUCUUCACAUACUGCUCUUCACAUUUUUCCCAUUUUUUUAUUAUUGCUACUGUUCAUCUUUUUACAGAUCUCAGUAAAAUGAGCUAAGCACUUGGUCUUUCAAUUUCUAAUUAUAAGUUUUCUGAAAUUUUUGCUCAAUUGGGUAAGUUUUCUACUUACUAUCUUACUCUCUUGUGUUUCAGUUUUCAACUUUUCUUUGUAGUUGUUGUUUUUCAAAUUCAUGGGAGUUUCUCUUUCUCUCUCUCGUGUAAUUGCUAUGUUUAAAUGUGCAAUAGUGAUAUACCCCAUAUAUGUACUAUCUGAGAGAUUUCAUUGAA